AAGUGCUCCUCAAGGCCUCUGCUGUGGGCUCCCUCCAUAGCCUGGCUCUGACACACAGGCUGGUUAUCCAUCUGAAGAGCCCUGCUACACAAACCCUGUCCCUCGGGCAUGGAGAAGUGGCCAUGAUCUCCUGCACUGCUGGGUGCUGGCACCAGAGUCUCCCCGGUUGCUUCACCUGUGGAGCUACUUAAUGAACGACCUGACUGUGAGUCGUCGUCUGGAAGAGAUUGGGAAUUAUCUUCAUCUCGUGCCUCACACGAGACCUGGUCAGCACCAACAUCAAAGUCAUUGUCCUGGGGGACAGAAACGGAGUGGCAUUUGAUUUCGUGGACCUCAGCGGCAUUAGUUGAUAUGCCCUCCAUCUCCCUGGUCACCUGAUGACAGUCGACAUUAGCAGUUGAUUCGGCUGACUGCUCUUUUGAGCACUCCCUGUCAGAACUGUAGCUGGCAAGUGUGUCUAUGGCAGCUGGGAUGCUGAGACUGGAACUUCUGUAGCUCCCUUCACUAUCCUUUACAAAGGAGAUAGUCUCAGAACAAAGGGGUUGUGUCUCCCCAAACCCUCUUUCACUGUAGGGUAGCGUAGAAGAGAAGGUGGAGGGAGGAUUCUCCACAUCAGCUGCUGUCUCUCCCACAGCAUCUUCACUGGCCUCCUUUGCCGUGUCCCAGGUGAAGGUACUGUUAAAAAGAAGGCCCUCGGCUGACUUGCCAUCCUGGCUGCGCUUGUCUGUGGACCGUGGAGGCUCAGAACCUUGUGUCUGUAGAACAGCCAGUAUCUUGUCAGGAGAACAUAAAUCACACACUUCGCUUUGACCUUCUGUCAGCUCCAAGUCCUCGGGGCAAAUUUCUUGAGGCAAAUAUUUAUCAACUGGUGCUCCAACAAGGAGAUCCAUGGUAGCAUAACAUGUUUCUUGGUCACCGGCUUCAAAACACCCCACCCCACCUGCAGCUUCUCUGACCCUUGACCCACUGCCCACAUUUUCCAGGGGGAGGGAGGGAGCAGUGGGCUGGGGGAAAGAAUCAGAGAGACCCUCUGGCUCCCUGCAGGGGACACCAUCACCCUGAGGGAGAGCCACUGAGGCUGGAGGCUGCGACUCUUCUUCCUCAUUGUCUUCUAGGAGACUCAGUUCACAGGCUGAUUCUGCCCAGAGAGCACCAGCCAACAACUGUUUCAGAGCAAAAGAAAACCAUGAUCAGCCAAGAAGAAUGGAGGUAAUUCUUUGGUAAGCCAUGCUGUCUCUGACCUCAGGACUCUCGUUCUGUAGAGCCCUACUCCAGUGUACAAGCCAGAGAGAGUGAAGAAAGUUGCUGCCACUCUUCUGGCAGAUAACAAGACGGACUUGAAAUGCUCUUUCCCGUGGGAAGCUACAGUCCAGAGGUUUACCUCCACAAAUUCCAUAUGUGAAUAGAUCUUCUACCUCAGGGUUGCUUCCCACACCUACUGCCAGCAGGAAGUGGGACCAACGUCACCUAGGACACUUUCACGUGCUCCCCGAUGCUUGCUGCCUGCCAGUCAUUUCUCUGUCAUCUUUUAAGUGUCUCUCAUGUCUGCUGAACUUGGAUUCCAUAAAAGUACAAACUAAACUCCACAUGGAUGAAGACCAUUUACUGAUCCAACCAACAGCCAUUGAGCUCCUCCGACCUACUAAGAAGUGUUCCAGGAGAGGGAGAUGUCUUGAGACAUCAAGGCAAGGGCUUGUCUUGAGAGAGCGCCCAUUUUAUGUGUGUUCAAGCUUAUGGUACAGUAAUAAGCACCCAGUAAGCAUUCAACAAAUAUUUGUUGGAAGAGAAAGGAAGAAAAUGAGGCAUGUGCCAGUGGAGUGUGCUGCCACUGGAGGUCGCCUACAAAACCUCUGCCUUUGCAAGAGCUUUGCUUUGAAUUUAGGGACAGCCUUAUUUUAAGGGAGACCUCCAGCCAGAGUUUGAGGCCAGAUUGAGCCACACACAUGCCAGGCUAUCGCCAAGAGGGAGAAAAGCAAGCCAGAAGGCUCUAACCAUGGGCAUCGUUUGUUCUAAUGCUGAUGUUUCCAAAAAAGAAAGCCAUUCCUGUGUCUACCAGUUGUGGCAGUACACAUUGGUAGGUAGGAUAUACUGAAGGAUAUAUUUGCUCUUUUUUUUCUACAAUUUUUUUUAUAAAAAUCGUCGCAUU
rnacentral:lncRNA from 1 species